ACACAUCGUCGUCUCCGCGUUCCUCGGUUAUCUCUUACCCGAGCUCUUUACUUAUGCACUUUACUUUGUGAUAUCCAUAUUAUUUCUUGUCAUAUAUCUUGCUAUCACAUAGUUGCUUAUCUCGCUUAGCAUAAGUUAUUGGUGCACAUAGAUGAGCCUAGUUGUUUUAGGUUUUGUGCUUGACAAAUUAACCGCUAGGUUUAUUCCGUAUUUGUUCAAGUCUAAAUCGUAAUUAUUUUAAAACGCCUAUUCACCCCCCUCUAGACGACAUCCACGAUCUUUCAACCGCCGCCGUGAUUGGGUGGGGUCGUCGAGGACCAUGGCGGCGGAGCAGGCCAUGUCCAGGCACCGGAUCGACAGGCUCUCGGCGCCAAAUCUACAAGCACCGGUCGCCAUCCCCAUCGGUGACGCACACGUUGCCACUCCAGCACCCGCGGCAAUACAAGUGGGCGCGCCCGACAGACCUCAUCUCGUCAGGGGCGUCCACGUCCAAGUAGAUGUAGCGGGCGAGGGGCGCGUCGUUGACGGCCAUAGAGACAACGAUGCCGUCUGCAGGAAGGCCGACAACGUCGCGGACGUGCAGCUCGUCCGAGCACCACCGCUCCCAGACGCCUUGGCCGCUCCAUUUGAAGUGCCGGAGCAUGGCGUCGUGUUGGACGACAUGAGACAAAAUUUUCAGUGCAAGCGGGCAAAUUGUAUCCACCACUUAGGCAAAUUUCAGGGAAAUACUGGCUUGUGAUUGAUUCUACAAUUGAACUGGACUGCAGUUGCUCUACAUCGACAAUUGUUGGGGCCUCCAUUGUAGGGUGAUUGCUCAGCCCGUGUCAACGAAUCUUCAGACAAAAAGAUUGCUCAGCCCGUGUCAACUGAACUGAAUUGGAUGGAUGUUGGCUGCCGGCCGGCUGAUGUAGCAGGAAAGGAAAGUUCAGGCCGAGGUUGCACAUCAUGCAAUCCGCCGAUGAAGAAGCAACGGAUUUUCACUAGUACUCCUAAUAUUAUCUUCCUGUUAUCCUGUAGUUCAGCCACUCUGCUUAUAGACUAUCGUUGUUAGUAAUGUUCUUCACCCAAUAUUCCUGUUUACCAGUGUUGGCCAAUUUACAGGGUGCGGCGAUGAGGGAUGCACAAACAAGUUGUGGCCAGUGGGAGAGGCAAGGGGACCUGUUCACCGCUGCAAGAGGGAUGUCGAAGGAACCAAAAGUGGAAGCUAGCAUAGCGACACCAUGUUCAUUUGUCUUCAAGAGGCCACUUUUACGUGUUGAAGGAACGAUGGAAGAAGGCAUGCCUUUUGUUGGGACAGAUGUGUUUUUCAAGUGUCUUGGGAUGUAAAAAUUCACCAAAAAUAAGAUUUUUAAGAUAGAAAUAUGUGUUCUAUUCCAGAAACUAAAAGUAGCAGUAUCAGCAAAUUCAUAUAACUGUUUUUGCUUUUUCUUUUGUCUUAUUCUUCCAGCAGUAACAAAACUACUACUGUGUGUUUUUAUGAUUAUUUUUUACCUAGUCCUUACAAUUUUUCCCUUACUAUGUUUGUCUAUGACUAUUUUUUUGCUUCACCAUGGUUUCUUGGGGAACCGAACACCAUUGUAGCUUUCUUUAGAGGAGAAAAGCUACGAAGAAACAUUAGUUUUUUUUGUUUCAUUCAAUUUUUGCAAGACCCACAUACAAAAAUAUCAAAGCCAUAGAAGGCCUAGAGAAGCUACUCUCCAGGUGUAGUGCAAAAAAAAGAUACUAGUUGCCCAGGGACCAGGGAGAAAAAUGAGGGAGAACAAAGGGGAGAAGAAGUGAGAAAAUCACCUCAUGUCUCUUCCUUCAUUUGCAAAUGGGUGGAUACCUUUUUUCAGUAUUUUAGUACAUGUAACGGGGUAACAAUCGCAGGAAGUCCUUCUGACUGUGGGAAUGGUUUUGUGUGGGGGAGAAGAAGGGCAUAAACCAUGGAGGAGAGAGACAAGAGGGCGUUGGGUGCAAGGGGAGCCGAGAGAAAACACAUGGGAGCUGCGGCGUGCACGCAAUUGGGGGAUGAGGGCCAGGUGCUUUUUUCUCUUCGAUGGGUGGUCCGGGGGACACACAAGACGAUGGGGUGGAAGAAGAAAGAAGAGGGAGAAGAAGAAGGGCAUGGGGAGAGCUUGGGAGAGAAGAAGAAAGGAGGGAGGGGGCACUGCUUUUGGUGAAGCGCGUGAAGGGAGGGAGAGAAGCUGGGUGGACGGAGGGACCUGGGAGACGGUGAACCCUUUCCUUUCCAAAUCUGGACUGAGGGGGGACCAAAACAUACCUAAUAUGGGAGGCUGCCAGGGGGCACUAACGGGCACACGUUUGCCUGCUAGACACGUCCAAUAUCUUAAUAGUGGUUUCUAGUGUAUAGUAGAUGAACAUUUUCAUAGAAAUUAUAGGGCAUGGCAAAUUUGACUUGCAAGUUGGUCUCUGUAAUAAGUUGAAACCAUGUGCAUUCUUGUAUUCAAAUUACACUAUUAGGAA